rnacentral:lncRNA from 1 species
UUAUUUGAGGAAACUGAGGAUGUUGUAUAUUUUUAAAUGAAAAUUAGCCUUGAAUGUUUUAUGGUAUUUUUAUGUGUAUGUAUCUCAACUCCCUUAAACUAAAUCCCAGUUUAAACUAUAAUCAAUGUAACUUAAUUGGGUUUAUUUUUUAAGGAAUAUAAAAGGUGAUGGAUAUUAUGUUUUAAGUAUAUCAUUUGCCUUUUUCUCUCUUUAGAAACUGUUUGUCACCUUCCUAAACUGGUUAAUAGUGGCAUGGAAGAUCCAUUUGGUAAGUAUCACCUGCAUUUUUCUUAGUAAAUGAUAUUUGUGUUUUAUCCUUACCUCCAUUAAAGCUUUGAGAAUAAAAUGACUUUUUUUCAUGUUUAUUGUGCUAAACUCUCUAU